CGCCAAUUGCGGGCAGGCUACACAUGCAGUCGAGCGGAUGAGAGGAGCUUGCUCCUCGAUUCAGCGGCGGACGGGUGAGUAAUGCCUAGGAAUCUGCCUGGUAGUGGGGGACAACGUUUCGAAAGGAACGCUAAUACCGCAUACGUCCUACGGGAGAAAGCAGGGGACCUUCGGGCCUUGCGCUAUCAGAUGAGCCUAGGUCGGAUUAGCUAGUUGGUGAGGUAAUGGCUCACCAAGGCGACGAUCCGUAACUGGUCUGAGAGGAUGAUCAGUCACACUGGAACUGAGACACGGUCCAGACUCCUACGGGAGGCAGCAGUGGGGAAUAUUGGACAAUGGGCGAAAGCCUGAUCCAGCCAUGCCGCGUGUGUGAAGAAGGUCUUCGGAUUGUAAAGCACUUUAAGUUGGGAGGAAGGGUUGUUUCCUAAUACGAAGCAAUUUUGACGUUACCGACAGAAUAAGCACCGGCUAACUCUGUGCCAGCAGCCGCGGUAAUACAGAGGGUGCAAGCGUUAAUCGGAAUUACUGGGCGUAAAGCGCGCGUAGGUGGUUUGUUAAGUUGAAUGUGAAAUCCCCGGGCUCAACCUGGGAACUGCAUCCAAAACUGGCAAGCUAGAGUAGGGUAGAGGGUGGUGGAAUUUCCUGUGUAGCGGUGAAAUGCGUAGAUAUAGGAAGGAACACCAGUGGCGAAGGCGACCACCUGGACUCAUACUGACACUGAGGUGCGAAAGCGUGGGGAGCAAACAGGUA
rnacentral:rRNA from 1 species